AUCCAACUGACGAGUCCUAAACAGGACGAAGCAUGCAU
rnacentral:hammerhead_ribozyme from 1 species